AGCCAACCUAUUUUGUAAAGUUAAACAGCGAUGUCACAACCAGCCUGUGUUCACCAUGAGACCGGCCUAUAGCGUUUUUCUUGCAGCCUUCAUCUUGUUCAUAGGCAUCCUCACUCUCAGCUGGAAUCCAUCAAGAUGACCAUGAAUUCUCAAUUUGACACGAACGAUCUAGACUCACCUGGGGAAUGACCUCUAAGCCGGCCUGUGAGAGAGUUUCUUGACUGCGCGAAUUGAGAUGAGAAGACUUGUCCUCUGAUGUUGGCUCCAUUUCCCAGAUGUAGAACCCUCAGCCCCCUCUCCAGCACCAUGUCUGCCUGUGUGUCGCCAUGUUUCCCUCCACUGAUGAUAAAUGAACUGAACCUCUCGACUGUAAGCCAGACCCCAGGAAAUGUAUUUCUUGAUAAGAGUUGCUGUGGGUCUGGAGAGAUGGCCCAGAGGAUAAGAGCAUUGGCUACUCUGCCAGAGGUCCUGAGUUCAAUUCCCAGCAACCACAUGGUGCCUCGUAACUGUCUGGAAUGAGAUAUGAUGCCCUCUUCUGGUGUGCAGGCAUGUAU